rnacentral:miRNA from 1 species
CUGAACUGUCUUACUCCCACAUC